GCCUGGGGGGCUCAGUCGGUUGAGCAUCCGACUUCAGCUCGGGUUAUGAUCUCAUGGGUUCGAGCCCCACAUCAGGCU
rnacentral:tRNA from 1 species